rnacentral:lncRNA from 1 species
GCUCAGGUGGUUAAGUGUCGAACUUCAGCUCAGGUCAUGAUCUCACGGUUUAUGAGUUCAAGCCCUCAUUGGGCUCUGGGCUGAAAGCUCAAAGCCUGAAGCCUGCUUCAGAUUCUGUCUCCUUCUCUCUGCCCUCCCCAACUCGUGCUGUCUCUUAAAAAUGAAUGUUUAAAAAAUGUUUAAUAAAUAAAAUUAAAAUUAAAUUAGGUCUCUAACUCCAAAGACAUAACAAAGUGUAGCAGCACCACUACAAAUAUAGGGUGCAAACACCCAUAUUUAAUAAAAAUUUCAAGAGAAAAAGAUCAGUUUUCAAUUAACUAAGCAGCCAUCUAUAUUUUCCACCAGGAAGUGUUGUCAGCGUUUGAAAAGAAGGUGCACACAAAGAAUUCUGUCUUCAUCAACAUCAGUGACUGGGGCCAUUCAUCAGUUCUGACACCCCAAAAAAGGCAAGGAGGAAAGAAGAGAGGGGUGGAGGGGGGAAUUUUUUUUAAAAAGGAAACAAGGAAAACCAUCUGGAUCUAGGGCCAUAGUCCUCUGCCUGGCUGGGCUAUUUACAGAAGUUAAUUUGAUUUUCCCCUAGCAAUGAAAGAUAUAUAGGAUCCCUAUAGAUUGUGGAGUUCAACAAAUCAGAAAGAGAGGGAACAAAAUCCCGUAUUUCCAGGGACUAAACAGCCAAUCCUUUGCUGGGAUUUGGUGGCAUCUAGUGGUGGACUCAAGAGGUAUAAAACUCAUGAGAACUUUCUGGAAAAUUAACAGAGCAUACUUGCCUGAAGGGCACUGUGCUUGGAGAGCAGGACAAAAAGGCCAUCAUCAGAAAAGCUAA